rnacentral:rRNA from 1 species
AAAGUCGUAACAAGGUUUCUGUAGGUGAACCUGCAGAAGGAUCAUUAGUGAAGAUUUGGGCAGGCCAUACGGACGCCAAAAAGUGUCCCUGGCCGCCUACACCCACUAUACAUCCACAAACCCGUGUGCACUGUCUUGGAGAAAGGCUUCAGAGAAGUUUUUUGUGGCCUCUCUUGGGGUCUUUCUUCGCUACAAACUCGAAUGGUUAGUAUGAACGUGGAACUUGGUUGGACCGUCACUGGCCAACAAACUAUACACAACUUUCGACAACGGAUCUCUUGGUUCUCCCAUCGAUGAAGAACGCAGCGAAACGCGAUAGGUAAUGUGAAUUGCAGAAUUCCGUGAAUCAUCGAAUCUUUGAACGCACCUUGCGCUCUAUGGCAAUCCGUAGAGCAUGCCUGUUUGAGUGCCAUGAAAUCUCCCACCCCAAGCAGUUUUUAAAUGAAACGGCCUGGCGGAUGGGGUCUGGAUGGGUGCCUCUGCCUGCGCUACCUAGCACAGGCUCGCCCGAAAUGCAUGAGCGCCUUGAGACACUUUGCAUCCGCCUCUCUGUUUGGGAGGAGGCGGCCAAGCAGUGUUUUUCUCCUGGCAUGGCAUGAUACGUCAUUUGCUAUGUCGCCUAAAGGAGGAAUGUUUGGUUGUGUCUGCGUGUGCUUCGAACUUGCCUCUGUGGCACAUCCCAAUUUCACUUCUGGUCUCAAAUCAGGUAGGAUCACCCGCUGAACUUAAGCAUAUCAAUA